UAAGUCCUUCUGCAUAAUUGAACUGGUGUAGUCAGUAGUGUACUUAGCUAUUGUCUUGUGAGCUUCAUGGUAUUGGUGUUUUGCUGUGAAGCUAUUUGUUUUGGAAUUAGUGUUUAAUAUGGUAAUUAGAUGUACAAUAGUGAUUUGUAUAAAAUUAGUGCUUAAUUAUAUUGUGACUUGUGACUGCCAUCAGGUGCUUGGGUUGGAAGUAUGAAAGAGCCUAUGAAGAAACUGAGAAAUGCAAAGAAGGAUAUUAAAUUGCUUGGAUCUCAUUAUUGUUUGAUAUAACAUGUGUAAUGACUAAUGAGUUACAACUUAGGUAAUUUAAGUCACUAUGAUACUAUGGUUUUACAGUGUUGGUGAUUGGAGCUAAUGUAAUGUAGGUUCUUUUUUGAAUGGGAACCCUAUAAAAGGUGUGUGUUUUAUGUUUUUCAUCUUUUGAUAAUUUGUUAUUGAUAUAGAUGUCAUACUUAUUUAUGCCUUGAAUUUAACAGUAUCGUCACAAACUGAAUUGUUGAACUAUCUUCUUGCAACUGAGGUAUGUCAAGCCUUUUAUAAUUCAUUAUGUGAAGUCUAUUCAAUUUUUUUUUUCAUUCACAUCAAUGAAGUGUAUUCCUCUCCCUCUCUCCCUGUCCAUGUCAUGUAUCUGUGUCAAUUUGUGGAAUGACAAUCUAUGUGAAUAUUGUAAAAUAGUCUUAUUAUUUGGAAAUUCAUGCAAAUGAUUGGAUUCAGAAUUUAAAUUCAAGUAGGAGAGUUUCUUAAAAAUUAGAUGCAGUAAUGAGGCUAAGUUCAUCUUAUACAAGAAGUUGUUUAAAUUUUUUACAGUUAAUGCAAAAAUAUAAUGACAAAUUUGGCUUGAUUUUCCUUCUGUUUUACAUUGUUGCUCUUGCUUGUGAUGCAGAAAGAUAAUACAGAGGGUUCGUAAGUUGAUCUUGAAGAAAUGUGCCGCAAAUAUUUAGUAACAUGGUAAGACCAACAGCAUUAGCUUUGUUCCAAAUUUUGAAGAUUUUGGAGUAAAAUUUGAGUGCAGUUGCAAUUACUAGUUUUUGGGUUCAAUUAGUCUUGUGCACUUCUCUAAUUUAUUUACCAGCUUUUGUUAUACUUUGCCUUAAUAUAUUUCCUGUCUGCACAUGUAUCCUUUGCCUUCAUAUAUUGCUUGUGUGCAUAUGUAUAACACUAAUUAAUAUGUAUCCUUUGGUAGUAGUAGCUUGUAUAUCUAAAGACCUUUUGUCUAUUUGUUUCGUUCGUAAGUUUGACUGAAGUAAUGGGAUCCUGUUGAUCCAUUUUGCAAUGAUCAUGCCUGUUGUCUUACUUUCAUUUGUGUGGAUCUGUCUCCAUUUUGGUGAUUUAGUGAAAAAGUCUGGUUGAUGUGAUUGUUUGUUGAUCGAUGUUGUUGUUUCUUCAUUCUUGUCGGCUCUUUCUCAGGCAUUGAGCAAUGUAGAUGACAAGUGCAUAAAUCACAGAGUGGCUGAGGCUGUGGAGAGCUAGGAGGCUCUCAGGAUGCAUUGAUUUGGGUUGUGUCCGCAAAGGAUGUCAUGGUUUGGUUUUCGUUCAUAUCUAUCACUAUUUGCAUUGUGGUAAGCUAUUUAUGCCAAGCUAUAGAUAGUAUUUCUUCAGCAAUGACCAUGAUUAUUAUCACUUUUGUCAUUUUCAAUUUGUUUAAGUUUUCAGUUGGGUUUCAUGUUAAUUUGAUGGUCUAUUUUCUAAAUUUGUACUAGUUAUGGAUGUUAUAUAUCAUUAAAAUGACGUAAGUUUUGUUUGAUUAAUUGUUGUUCAUAUUUUGUAUUAUUAAAUAUGCA
rnacentral:lncRNA from 1 species